rnacentral:rRNA from 1 species
GUGCACCAGGCGCGAAACCUCCGCAAUACACGAAAAGUGUGACGGGGCCAUCCCGAGUGCCGUCCGCUGAGGACGGCUUUUCCCCAGUGUACACAGCUGGGGGAAUAAGGAGAGGGCAAGCCUGGUGUCAGCCGCCGCGGUAAUACCAGCUCUCGAGUGGUGGGGACGCUUAAUUGGGCCUAAAAGCAUCCCGUAAGCCGGCUGGGCAAGUCCUCCGUUAAAAUCCAACGAUUUAAAUCGUUGGGCUGCGGGGGAUACUGUCCAGCUUGGGGC